rnacentral:rRNA from 1 species
GUCUACGGCCAUGCUACCCUGAGUAAGCCUGAUCUCGUCUGAUCUCAGCAGCUAAGCAGGGUCUGGCCUGGUUAGUACUUGGACGGGAGACCACCUAGGAAGACCAGGUGCGGUAGGCA